rnacentral:rRNA from 1 species
CCUACGGGAGACAGCAGUGGGGAAUAUUGCACAAUGGACGAAAGUCUGAUGCAGCAACGCCGCGUGAGGGAAGAAGGCUUUCGGGUUGUAAAGCUCUAUCAGCAGGGAAGAAAAUGACGGUACCUGACUUGCAUUCCCCGGCUAACUACGUGCCAGCAGCCGCGGUAAUACGUAGGGGGCACGCGUUAUCCGGAUUUACUGGGUGUGAAGGGAGCGUAGACGGGAGGGCAAGUCUGAUGUGAAAUCCCCUGGCUCAACCAUGGAACUGCAGUUGAAACUGUGCGGCUGGAGUGCAGGAGAGGUAAGCGGAAUUCCUAGUGUAGCGGUGAAAUGCGUAGAUAUUAGGAGGAACACCAGUGGCGAAGGCGGAUUACUGGACUGUAACUGACGGUGAGGCUCGAAAGCGUGGGGAGCAAACAGGAUUAGAUACCCGAGUAGUC